GGUGUAGAGAUUGAGACAGGACUAGUUGUGUUUGGUGUAGAGAUUGAGACAGGACUAGUUGUGUUUGGUGUAGAGAUUGAGACAGGACUAGUUGUGUUUGGUGUAGAGAUUGAGACA